rnacentral:rRNA from 1 species
ACGCUGGCGGCGUGCCUAAUACAUGCAAGUAGAACGCUGAAGAGAGGAGCUUGCUCUUCUUGGAUGAGUUGCGAACGGGUGAGUAACGCGUAGGUAACCUGCCUUGUAGCGGGGGAUAACUAUUGGAAACGAUAGCUAAUACCGCAUAACAAUAGGUGACACAUGUCAUUUAUUUGAAAGGGGCAAUUGCUCCACUACAAGAUGGACCUGCGUUGUAUUAGCUAGUAGGUGAGGUAACGGCUCACCUAGGCGACGAUACAUAGCCGACCUGAGAGGGUGAUCGGCCACACUGGGACUGAGACACGGCCCAGACUCCUACGGGAGGCAGCAGUAGGGAAUCUUCGGCAAUGGGGGCAACCCUGACCGAGCAACGCCGCGUGAGUGAAGAAGGUUUUCGGAUCGUAAAGCUCUGUUGUAAGUCAAGAACGAGUGUGAGAGUGGAAGGUUCACACUGUGACGGUAGCUUACCAGAAAGGGACGGCUAACUACGUGCCAGCAGCCGCGGUAAUACGUAGGUCCCGAGCGUUGUCCGGAUUUAUUGGGCGUAAAGCGAGCGCAGGCGGUUUGAUAAGUCUGAAGUUAAAGGCUGUGGCUCAACCAUAGUUCGCUUUGGAAACUGUCAAACUUGAGUGCAGAAGGGGAGAGUGGAAUUCCAUGUGUAGCGGUGAAAUGCGUAGAUAUAUGGAGGAACACCGGUGGCGAAAGCAGCUCUCUGGUCUGUAACUGACGCUGAGGCUCGAAAGCGUGGGGAGCGAACAGGAUUAGAUACCCUGGUAGUCCACGCCGUAAACGAUGAGUGCUAGGUGUUGGAUCCUUUCCGGGAUUCAGUGCCGCAGCUAACGCAUUAAGCACUCCGCCUGGGGAGUACGACCGCAAGGUUGAAACUCAAAGGAAUUGACGGGGGCCCGCA